rnacentral:rRNA from 1 species
CCUACGGGAGGCAGCAGUGAGGAAUAUUGGUCAAUGGACGAGAGUCUGAACCAGCCAAGUAGCGUGAAGGAUGACUGCCCUAUGGGUUGUAAACUUCUUUUAUAUGGGAAUAAAACAGGGUAUGCAUACCCUCUUGUAUGUACCAUAUGAAUAAGGAUCGGCUAACUCCGUGCCAGCAGCCGCGGUAAUACGGAGGAUCCGAGCGUUAUCCGGAUUUAUUGGGUUUAAAGGGUGCGCAGGCGGAAGAUCAAGUCAGCGGUAAAAUUGAGAGGCUCAACCUCUUCGAGCCGUUGAAACUGGUUUUCUUGAGUGAGUGAGAAGUAUGCGGAAUGCGUGGUGUAGCGGUGAAAUGCAUAGAUAUCACGCAGAACUCCGAUUGCGAAGGCAGCAUACCGGCGCUCAACUGACGCUCAUGCACGAAAGUGUGGGUAUCGAACAGGAUUAGAUACCCCUGUAGUC